GAGAGCGAGAGACUUGCUAUCGAUAGGUUUUUACCCAAACGAAACCAGAAAAAUGAAAAGAAGAAAAGAAAAAGGAGAGAGAGAGAGAGAGAGAGAGAGAGAGAGAGAGAGGGAGGGAGAGAUCGUAGCAAGAAAAAGAAAGGAAGAUGGAAAAAAAUGUAAAAAUGGAAGAUCUGAUCUUCAAUCGAUCUCGACAUCGCCAGGAACGUACCACAGUACAAGCUCACUGGGCCAAUUCCAUCUGAAUUGGGGAACAUGUCCAAGCUAAGCUAUCUGUGAGGGCAAUUGAACAACAAUGAACUGGUUGGUAGCAUUCCGGCCGAGCUUAGACAGCUGGAGUUGUUUGAAUUGUGCAUGGCAAAGAUCAAAUGGUUCCAUUCCAUCUGAAUUCCUGAAGCUAGAGAGU